rnacentral:rRNA from 1 species
AUUGAACGCUGGCGGCAGGCCUAACACAUGCAAGUCGAACGGUAACAGGAAGCAGCUUGCUGCUUUGCUGACGAGUGGCGGACGGGUGAGUAAUGUCUGGGAAACUGCCUGAUGGAGGGGGAUAACUACUGGAAACGGUAGCUAAUACCGCAUAACGUCGCAAGACCAAAGAGGGGGACCUUCGGGCCUCUUGCCAUCGGAUGUGCCCAGAUGGGAUUAGCUAGUAGGUGGGGUAACGGCUCACCUAGGCGACGAUCCCUAGCUGGUCUGAGAGGAUGACCAGCCACACUGGACCUGAGACACGGUCCAGACUCCUACGGGAGGCAGCAGUGGGGAAUAUUGCACGAUGGGCGCAAGCCUGAUGCAGCCAUGCCGCGUGUAUGAAGAAGGCCUUCGGGUUGUAAAGUACUUUCAGCGGGGAGGAAGGGAGUAAAGUUAAUACCUUUGCUCAUUGACGUUACCCGCAGAAGAAGCACCGGCUAACUCCGUG